UUUAUUUCUCCAACAUCCUGCUGUUAGCCUGCUAUGAAUAUGCUAGCUGCAACAGUCCCACAUCAGUAUUAUGAACGUUCCGUCAGCUUGCGUGGUCCAGACACCGGAUCAGUGAUCAGAGGUUGGCGUUGAACUGUUGUUUGCCAGCCAGUUAGCCGCUGGUAAGCUAACAAGCUAUGAAACAACUCCUUAUAAAACCGGAGGAAAGCAGCAGCAAUAUUUCAUUACCAGACCUGUAUUCAGAACCUCCCACACUGUUACACAAUGACCCAUUAAUCAUAUUACUGAACUAUAUGGUUAUCAUUGAAAUUUUCCUUGAAGAACCAGUGAACUCUUUGCGAACACAUUUUAAUUUAUGUGUUGAUUAUGUUUUGUAUCAGUAAUACAAGUCUAAAAAAACUGAUUCAAAUGAUCAAGUUAACACAAUGAAAUAAAGAGUACUGGUAAUCUGCAGCUAUUUUCAUAAUUUCAAGGUAAAAUGCUGAUUGUUGUGUGAUUUUCCACUUUGCAGAUGUGGAAAUCCAAUGCACUGAUUUCUUAUACACAGAUGCUUUUGGUGUUUUUCUGUUGUAAAAUAAAACAAGGCAUUUAUCACUGUUGGAAAUGAUUACAGGUAUUAUUUGUAACACUUUCUAACAUUGUAUGGACAAAGCAAUAAAUCAGUUAAUGGAUAAAAUCAUUUGUAUUACAGAUGCUAUCAACAGCAUGUCUUGUUCAUUUUAUUUAGUUGUCGGCCUUGGAUGAUGAGGUCCAGUUACCAGGAUCACUACUCUGCAGCUUACUGGUUCCGUCCUGCAGCUCCUUCAUGCUGUCCUCCUCGCUACAGACCAAAUCAAGAUAAAGAAACCAGGAUGCUACUGUGGAUCUGCUGCAGUAUCUGGAGACGUCAGAGGAACGGUUCUUGGAACAGAUCUGAAGACACCGAGACCUGACCACUGCCCUGCUCCAGAACAUCCAGAGGACGGAUGAAAAUUCAAUCACCUUUGCUGGACUGAUGGGACGCAUGGUGUCGGUGCUGGAGCGACUGUCACAGAAAUAAACUGCAUUGUCCACUA